CCUACGGGUGGCAGCAGUGGGGGAUAUUGCACAAUGGGGGAAACCCUGAUGCAGCGACGCCGCGUGAGUGAAGAAGGAUGUCGGUAUGUAAAGCUCUAUCAGCAGGGAAGAAAAUGACAGUACCUGACCAAGAAGCCCCGGCUAACUACGUGCCAGCAGCCGCGGUAAUACGUAGGGGGCAAGCGUUAUCCGGAUUUACUGGGUGUAAAGGGAGCGUAGACGGUUCUGUAAGUCGGGAGUGAAAGCCCGGGGCCCCACCCCGGGACGGCUCUGGAAACGGUCCGGCUGGAGUGCAGGAGAGGUCAGUGGCCUUCCUCGUGUAGCGGUGACAUGCGUCGCUAUUAGGCUGAACACCAGUGGCGACGGCGGCUUACUGGACUGUAACUGACGUUGCGGCUCGACCGCGUGGGGAGCACACAGGAUUAGCUACCCCAGUAGUC
rnacentral:rRNA from 1 species